GAACAUAGUUUGUCUGGCCUGG
rnacentral:miRNA from 1 species